rnacentral:rRNA from 1 species
GACGAACGCUGGCGGCGUGCUUAACACAUGCAAGUCGAACGGAAAGGCCCUGCUUUUGUGGGGUGCUCGAGUGGCGAACGGGUGAGUAACACGUGAGUAACCUGCCCUUGACUUUGGGAUAACUUCAGGAAACUGGGGCUAAUACCGGAUAGGAGCUCCUGCUGCAUGGUGGGGGUUGGAAAGUUUCGGCGGUUGGGGAUGGACUCGCGGCUUAUCAGCUUGUUGGUGGGGUAGUGGCUUACCAAGGCUUUGACGGGUAGCCGGCCUGAGAGGGUGACCGGCCCACUUGGGAUGUGGGAACGGCCCGAACCCCUCCGGGGGGGAGGGGGGGGGAAUUUUGCACAAGGGGCGGAAGCCUGGAGGAGCAACGCCGGGGGGGGGAGGACGGCCUUGGGGUUGUAAACCGCUUUCGCCUGGGACGAAGGGGGGGGGAGGGGAAUGGGAAAAGAAGCACCGGCAAACUAGGG